rnacentral:rRNA from 1 species
UACGGAGGGGGUUAGCGUUGUUCGGAAUGACUGGGCGUAAAGCGCGCGUAGGCGGAUCAUCAAGUCGGGGGUGAAAUCCCGGGGCUCAACCCCGGAAUGGCCUUCGAGACUGGUGGUCUUGAGUUCGAGAGAGGUGAGUGGAAUUACGAGUGUAGAGGUGAAAUUCGUAGAUAUUCGGAGGAACACCAGUGGCGAAGGCGGCUCACUGGCUCGACACUGACGCUGAGGUGCGAAAGCGUGGGGAGCAAACAGG